UACGUAGGUGGCAAGCGUUGUCCGGAAUUAUUGGGCGUAAAGGGCGCGUAGGCGGCUCGGCACGUCCGUUGUGAAAUCGCCCGGCUCAACUGGGGGGGGUCGGCGGAUACGGCCGAGCUGGAGCAAGCUAGGGGGUAAUGGAAUUCCCGGUGUAGUGGUGGAAUGCGUAGAUAUCGGGAGGAACACCAGUGGCGAAGGCGGUUACCUGGAGCUUUGCUGACGCUGAUGCGCGAAAGCGUGGGGAGCGAUCCGG
rnacentral:rRNA from 1 species